UGCAGGACUGCAUCUGCCAAGCCCCUCUUGUUGGAGCAGUGGUGCCACUGGGAGAGGUCGCUGGUGCAGUCAGAGUCCUCCGGUGGAGGGCGUACUUGUAGCUCAUUCACGCAGCGCUUGCAGCGGAACCUGGGACCAAGAUGAUAUCUGCCCCCUGCUGGUCUGGAGGAAUAUCAUUGCAGUACGCAUGCACUGACCAAGACGAUCUGCAUCCACGAACCCCCAUCGAUUGCAAGCGGCUGGAUCCUAGAGCCAAGCCACUUGCCCACCUCGUUGUACCAGCCGCGCACAAGGCUGGAGGGUGAGACCACGAUCGCUUUGUUGAUCUCAGGCUUGCCAUCAGGGC